rnacentral:rRNA from 1 species
UACGUAGGGGGCAAGCGUUGUCCGGAAUUAUUGGGCGUAAAGCGCGCGCAGGCGGCCUUGUAAGUCUGUUGUUUAAACUUGGGGCUCAACCCCAAGUCGCAAUGGAAACUGCAAAGCUUGAGUGCAGAAGAGGAAAGUGGAAUUCCACGUGUAGCGGUGAAAUGCGUAGAGAUGUGGAGGAACACCAGUGGCGAAGGCGGCCGUCUGGGCCGACCCUGACGCUGAGGCGCGAAGGCGUGGGGAGCGAACGGG